AGAGCGAACGCUGGCGGCAGGCCUAAUACAUGCAAGUCGAGCGGUCCCUUCGGGGGCAGCGGCGGACGGGUGAGUAACGCGUGGGAACGUGCCCUUUGGUACGGAACAACUGAGGGAAACUUCAGCUAAUACCGUAUGUGCCCUUCGGGGGAAAGAUUUAUCGCCAUUGGAGCGGCCCGCGUUGGAUUAGGUAGUUGGUGAGGUAAAGGCUCACCAAGCCUACGAUCCAUAGCUGGUCUGAGAGGAUGAUCAGCCACACUGGGACUGAGACACGGCCCAGACUCCUACGGGAGGCAGCAGUAGGGAAUCUUGCGCAAUGGGCGAAAGCCUGACGCAGCCAUGCCGCGUGAAUGAUGAAGGUCUUAGGAUUGUAAAAUUCUUUCACCGGGGACAUAAUGACGGUACCCGGAGAAGAAGCCCCGGCUAACUUCGUGCCAGCAGCCGC
rnacentral:rRNA from 1 species